rnacentral:rRNA from 1 species
AGGGCGCAAGGAGAAUGCCUUGGCACUGGGAGCCGAUGAAAGACGUGGUAAGCUGCGAUAAGCUUCGGGGAGGAGCAAACAUCCUUUGAUCCGGAGAUUUCUGAAUGAGGAAACUCACCGGAGUUCAUACUCUGGUAUCCUGUACUGAAUCCAUAGGUACAGGAGGGGAACCGCCUGAACUGAAACAUCUAAGUAGGGCGAGGAAGAGACAUCAAACGAGAUUCCGUUAGUAGUGGCGAGCGAACGCGGAAGAGGGCAAACCGGAAGGAGAAAUCCUUCCGGGGUAUGGACCGCUUUUAGGACUUUAGCUGUUAAUCGAAUGGCAUGGGAAGGCCAACCAAAGAGUGUGAGAGUCACGUAGAUGAAAACGGCGAGAGCUGCGCGAGUUCCAGAGUACGGCCAGACACGUGAAACCUGGUCGGAAGAUGGGGGGACCACCCUCCAACCCUAAAUACUACCCAGUGACCGAUAGCGUAUAGUACUGUGAAGGAAAGGUGAAAAGGACCCCGGGAGGGGAGUGAAAUAGAACCUGAAACCUUGUGCCUACAAGCACAUAGAGCACAUCAACGUGUGAUAUGGUACUUUUUGUAGAACGGUCCGGCGAGCGAUUGUAUGUUGCGAGCUUAAGGUCUUAAGGACUGGAGGCGCAGCGAGAGCGAGUCUGAAGAGGGCGUUCAGUAACAUGCAAUGGGCCCGAAACCGGGUGACCUACCCAUGAUCAGGCUGAAGUGAAAGUAAAAUUUCAUGGAGGGCCGAACCGACCUCCGUUGAAAAGGCGGCGGAUGAAUUGUGGGUAGCGGAGAAAUUCCAAUCGAACUCGGAGAUAGCUGGUUCUCCCCGAAAUAGCUUUAGGGCUAGCGUUAUCUUAGAUUACCGGAGGUAAAGCACUGAAUGGGCUAGGGGGCGAUAAGCUUACUGAACCCUAUCAAACUCAGAAUGCCGGCUAAUUGAUGGAUAGCAGUCAGACAGUGUGAGAUAAGUUUCAUUGUCAAAAGGGAAACAGCCCAGACCCACAGCUAAGGUCCCAAAUGUAUGCUAAGUGGAAAACGAUGUGGAAUUGCGAAAACAACCAGGAUGUUGGCUUAGAAGCAGCCACUCAUUAAAAGAGUGCGUAAUAGCUCACUGGUCGAGUGACCCUGCGCGGAAAAUAUAACGGGGCUAAGCGUCCAACCGAAGCUUGGGAUGUCGAAUGACAUGGUAGGGGAGCGUCGUGUACGGGGUGAAGCAUGAGCGAGAGCACAUGUGGACUUUACACGAGUGAGAAUGCCGGAAUGAGUAGCGAGAAUUAUGUGGGAAUCAUAAUGGCCGAAAAUCUAAGGUUUCUUGGGGAAGGUUCGUCCGCCCAAGGUAAGCCGGGAGCUAAGGCGAGGCCGAAAGGCGUAGUCGAUGCACAUACGGUUGAAAUUCCGUAGCCGCCGAAAUUGUUAAGCACAGGGACACAUAGAGAUAUCCGAACCCGGGCGUUGGUUGACCCGGGCGCAAGGGACCGAACAUCAGUAGGGAAGUCGGAGAUGCUCUGUGGCGAGAAAAGCUGUGCGUAUUGAUUAGGCGCCCGUACCGCAAACCGACACAGGUAGAUGAGGAGAGAAUCCUAAGGCCAACGGGAGAAGGGUUGUUAAGGAACUCGGCAAAUUGACCCCGUAACUUCGGGAGAAGGGGUGCUCCAGAGAUGGAGCCGCAGAGAAUCGGCCCAAGCAACUGUUUACCAAAAACACAGGUUUGUGCUAAAUCGAAAGAUGACGUAUACGAGCUGACGCCUGCCCGGUGCUGGAAGGUUAAGAGGAGAUGUGCAAGCAUUGAAUCGAAGCCCCAGUGAACGGCGGCCGUAACUAUAACGGUCCUAAGGUAGCGAAAUUCCUUGUCAGGUAAGUUCUGACCCGCACGAAUGGCGUAAUGAUUUGGGCACUGUCUCAACAGCCCGCCCGGCGAAAUUGUAGUACUGGUGAAGAUGCCAGUUACCCGCAACUAGACGGAAAGACCCCAUGGAGCUUUACUGUAGCUUAAUACUGAAGAUCGGUAAUGCAUGUACAGGAUAGGUGGGAGCCUAGGAAACCCGGGCGUCAGCUUGGGCGGAGGCAACCUUGGAAUACCACCCUUGUAUUGCUGGUUUUCUAACCUGCGGCCAUGAAUCUGGUCGGGGGACACUGUUAGGUGGGCAGUUUGACUGGGGCGGUCGCCUCCAAAAGCGUAACGGAGGCGCUCAAAGGUUGGCUCAGCACGGACGGAAAUCGUGCAUAGAGUGCAAACGCAUAAGCCAACUUGACUGCGAGACCGACGGGUCGAGCAGGUACGAAAGUAGGAGUUAGUGAUCCGGUGGUAUGUGAGUGGAAAUGCCAUCGCUCAACGGAUAAAA